rnacentral:rRNA from 1 species
GACGUAGGAGGCGAGCGUUGUCCGGAUUCAUUGGGCGUAAAGAGCACGCAGGCGGUUUGGCAAGUCGGAUGUGAAAACCCGGAGCUCAACUCCGGACCUGCACUCCGAAACUGCCCGACUAGAGGUAGGUAGGGGAGAUCGGAAUUCCUGGUGUAGCGGUGAAAUGCGCAGAUAUCAGGAGGAACACCGGUGGCGAAGGCGGAUCUCUGGGCCGUUACCUGACGCUCGAGGUGCGAAAGCUAGGGGAGCGAACAGG